UACGUAGGCAGCAAGCGUUGUUCGGAGUUACUGGGCGUAAAGGGUGUGUAGGUGGCGCGCUAAGUUCCGUGUGAAAUCUCCCGGCUCAACCGGGCGGGUGCGCGGAAAACUGGCGGGCUAGAGUACGGGAUGGGAGAGUAGAAUUCCAGGUGUAGCGGUGAAAUGCGUAGAUAUCAGGAGGAAUACCGGUGGUGUAGACGGCUCUCUGGACCGUAACUGACGCUGAAACACGAAAGCGUGGGUAGCAAACAGC
rnacentral:rRNA from 1 species